rnacentral:rRNA from 1 species
GUUUGAUACAUGGCUCAGAUUGAACGCUGGCGGCAUGCUUUACACAUGCAAGUCGAACGGUAACAGGGAGCUUGCUCCGCUGACGAGUGGCGAACGGGUGAGUAAUAUAUCGGAACGUACCCAAGAGUGGGGGAUAACGUAGCGAAAGUUACGCUAAUACCGCAUACGAUCUAUGGAUGAAAGCAGGGGACCUUCGGGCCUUGUGCUCCUGGAGCGGCCGAUAUCUGAUUAGCUAGUUGGUGAGGUAAAGGCUCACCAAGGCGACGAUCAGUAGCUGGUCUGAGAGGACGACCAGCCACACUGGAACUGAGACACGGUCCAGACUCCUACGGGAGGCAGCAGUGGGGAAUUUUGGACAAUGGGCGCAAGCCUGAUCCAGCAAUGCCGCGUGAGUGAAGAAGGCCUUCGGGUUGUAAAGCUCUUUUGUCAGGGAAGAAACGGCUGUGGCUAAUAUCCACGGCUAAUGACGGUACCUGAAGAAUAAGCACCGGCUAACUACGUGCCAGCAGCCGCGGUAAUACGUAGGGUGCAAGCGUUAAUCGGAAUUACUGGGCGUAAAGCGUGCGCAGGCGGUUUUGUAAGUCUGUCGUGAAAUCCCCGGGCUCAACCUGGGAAUUGCGAUGGAGACUGCAAGCUAGAAUCUGGCAGAGGGGGGGUAGAAUUCCACGUGUAGCAGUGAAAUGCGUAGAGAUGUGGAGNAACACNGAUGGCGAAGNNNNCCCNUGGGUCAAGAUUGACGCUCAUGCACGAAAGCGUGGGAGCAAACAGGAUUAGAUACCCUGGUAGUCCACGCCCUAAACGAUGUCUACUAGUUGUCGGGUUUUAAUUAACUUGGUAACGCAGCUAACGCGUGAAGUAGACCGCCUGGGGAGUACGGUCGCAAGAUUAAAACUCAAAGGAAUUGACGGGGACCCGCACAAGCGGUGGAUGAUGUGGAUUAAUUCGAUGCAACGCGAAAAACCUUACCUACCCUUGACAUGUCAGGAAGACCGGAGAGAUCUGGUUGUGCCCGAAAGGGAACCUGAACACAGGUGCUGCAUGGCUGUCGUCAGCUCGUGUCGUGAGAUGUUGGGUUAAGUCCCGCAACGAGCGCAACCCUUGUCAUUAGUUGCUACGCAAGAGCACUCUAAUGAGACUGCCGGUGACAAACCGGAGGAAGGUGGGGAUGACGUCAAGUCCUCAUGGCCCUUAUGGGUAGGGCUUCACACGUCAUACAAUGGUACAUACAGAGGGCCGCCAACCCGCGAGGGGGAGCUAAUCCCAGAAAGUGUAUCGUAGUCCGGAUCGUAGUCUGCAACUCGACUACGUGAAGUUGGAAUCGCUAGUAAUCGCGGAUCAGCAUGCCGCGGUGAAUACGUUCCCGGGUCUUGUACACACCGCCCGUCACACCAUGGGAGCGGGUUUUACCAGAAGUAGGCAGCUUAACCGCAAGGAGG